rnacentral:rRNA from 1 species
UGGGGAAUUUUGGACAAUGGGCGAAAGCCUGAUCCAGCAAUGCCGCGUGUGUGAAGAAGGCCUUCGGGUUGUAAAGCACUUUUGUCCGGAAAGAAAUCCUUGGCUCUAAUACAGUCGGGGGAUGACGGUACCGGAAGAAUAAGCACCGGCUAACUACGUGCCAGCAGCCGCGGUAAUACGUAGGGUGCAAGCGUUAAUCGGAAUUACUGGGCGUAAAGCGUGCGCAGGCGGUUUGCUAAGACCGAUGUGAAAUCCCCGGGCUCAACCUGGGAACUGCAUUGGUGACUGGCAGGCUAGAGUAUGGCAGAGGGGGGUAGAAUUCCACGUGUAGCAGUGAAAUGCGUAGAGAUGUGGAGGAAUACCGAUGGCGAAGGCAGCCCCCUGGGCAAUACUGACGCUCAUGCACGAAAGCGUGGGGAGCAAACAGGAUUAGAUACCCUGGUAGUCCACGCCCUAAACGAUGUCAACUAGUUGUUGGGGAUUCAUUUCCUUAGUAACGUAGCUAACGCGUGAAGUUGACCGCCUGGGGAGUACGGUCGCAAGAUUAAAACUCAAAGGAAUUGAC